AAGGCGCUCUCGGCUCAUGGCCCUGUAAUGAGCUGCCUUAUUUUUGUGUGACUAAUGAGGGUGUGGUUUGAGCCCUGAUGUUGUGCAAGGAGAAAGGAAUCCUUUUCGAGUAGUGAAGGCGGGUUGAAUCUCUUGGAUUGGGUUCCUACCCAAUGGAACUCAAGAAAACAAGCUCACUCCUUCCACAUGACAGUCCUUCGGAUAUCAGAAAUGAGCAAUCCGUGAAUGGAUGCAUUCUCGAAUUGAUUUACGAAAUGCUUGAAGUGAAUUAAAUUGAAUUAUGUGAUGCCACUUAUUUAGCUCUAAUUGUAAACAUCUGAUCAUGAGUAAGCACUAAAGGUCAGGCAUAAAGGCAGCCUUAUAUUAUG